rnacentral:rRNA from 1 species
UACGUAGGGGGCAAGCGUUGUCCGGAAUCAUUGGGCGUAAAGGGCGCGUAGGCGGUCCGGUAAGUCCGCUCUGAAAGUCCGGGGCUCAACCCCGGGAGGCGGGCGGAUACUGUCGGGCUAGAGUCCGGAAGAGGCGAGUGGAAUUCCUGGUGUAGCGGUGAAAUGCGCAGAUAUCAGGAGGAACACCAAUGGCGAAGGCAGCUCGCUGGGACGGUACUGACGCUGAGGCGCGAAAGCGUGGGGAGCGAACAGG